GUUUUUAUAGCUUAUAAUUAGAGCAUAUCAGUGAAGUUGAUAAGGAAAUAUUAAUUUAAAAAUA
rnacentral:tRNA from 1 species